GCUAUGUUAAAUAAUAUUUUAGAUUGAAUCAGAGACAGUAGCGUCAGAACAAAGCCUCAACAAUGCUACUGAACGCUUAGCACAGAUUGAAAAGGACAUUGAUGAAAUAAAACAAAAGACCACAGACAACAUACACACUGCAGAAGACAUUGGGGACGCAGCAGAUAAAGUAAAGCAAACUGCAGAUGAAGCCAAACAGAUACUUGAUACUGUCCUGAAAAACAAGUACACCAUUGUAGAAGACACCAUCGUAAAAAAAUCUGAUGCAGCUUCUGAUGCUAGGAAAAAAGCAAAGUUAUUGCAGAGUGAAGCUGAAUCUUUGUUAUCAGAUGCAAGUCGGAAACUUGAGUUAUUAAAGAAACUAGAAAAAAGUUAUGAAGACAACCAAAAAGCUUUGGAGGAAAAAGCCCAAAAGUUAAUAAAACUGGAAGAAGAUGUGCGCUCAUUGCUGCAGACAAUUAGCCAGAAGGUUGCCAUCUAUAGUACCUGUUUAUAAUAAGAAUCACUUCACUGAUACUAUAUACUUAAAGUUGCCUUCCUGUCAGUCCCUGAUAUUGUACUUUUUAAGCUGAAGAACAAUCCAUGCCAAGCCAACAUUUUAAAUGGAAAGCUUGCGAAUUUAUUGAGUUAUUGUUUAAAAGUAGUACAUUAUUUGUAUGUACUUUAGUUGUUAAACAUUUUAAAUAGAAACCAAUGUUGCAACCAUGGAAUGCAAUUUGUAAGCACCAGCAGUAUUUUUUGUAUUAUUGUUCUUUAAACUUUGUCUGAAAUGAAGUAAAAGUUCUCGGGUAAAGGUAGCAAACUUUUGUAGCCAGUAUUGAAUACAUUUAUUGCAUUCAAAUUUUAUAUAAAAUGGACAUCGUAAAUAUCCAUUACGCAAUAAAUACUUUCUAAAACAAAA